CGCUGGCGGCGUGCUUAACACAUGCAAGUCGAGCGAGAAAGUUUUCUUCGGAAAAUGAGUAGAGCGGCGCACGGGUGAGUAACGCGUGGAUAAUCUGCCCUGAAGAUCGGGAUAACAGUUGGAAACGACUGCUAAUACCGUAUAAUCUGCAUAUUUAGCUUUAUGUGGGAAAGGUGGCCUCUAUUUAUAAGCUACCACUUUUGGAUGAGUCCGCGUCUCAUUAGCUUGUUGGUGGGGUAAUGGCCUACCAAGGCAACGAUGAGUAGCUGGUCUGAGAGGAUGAUCAGCCACACUGGGACUGAAACACGGCCCAGACUCCUACGGGAGGCAGCAGUGGGGAAUAUUGCGCAAUGGGGGAAACCCUGACGCAGCGACGCCGCGUGUAGGAAGAAGGCCUUCGGGUCGUAAACUACUGUCAAGAGGGAAGAAACUGUUUGAUCAUAAUACGUUCAUUCACUGACGGUACCUCUAGAGGAAGCACCGGCUAACUCCGUGCCAGCAGCCGCGGUAAUACGGAGGGUGCGAGCGUUAAUCGGAAUCACUGGGCGUAAAGCGUGCGUAGGCGGCGCUUCAAGUCAGACGUGAAAGCCCUCGGCUCAACCGAGGAAUUGCGU
rnacentral:rRNA from 1 species